rnacentral:rRNA from 1 species
UAGGGAAUCUUCCGCAAUGGACGCAAGUCUGACGGAGCAACGCCGCGUGAGUGAAGAAGGAUUUCGGUUCGUAAAACUCUGUUGUUAGAGAAGAACAGCGCAUAGAGUAACUGUUAUGCGUGUGACGGUAUCUAACCAGAAAGCCACGGCUAACUACGUGCCAGCAGCCGCGGUAAUACGUAGGUGGCAAGCGUUGUCCGGAUUUAUUGGGCGUAACGCGAGCGCAGGCGGUCAAUUAAGUCUGAUGUGAAAGCCCCCGGCUCAACCGGGGAGGGUCAUUAGAAACUGAUUGACUUGAAUGCAGAAGAGGAGAGUGGAAUUCCAUGUGUAGCGGUGAAAUGCGUAGAUAUAUGGAGGAACACCAGUGGCGAAGGCGACUCUCUGGUCUGUAACUGACGCUGAGGCUCGAAAGCGUGGGUAGCAAACAGG